GAUGAAGAACGCAGCGAAAUGCGAUAAGUAAUGUGAAUUGCAGAAUUCAGUGAAUCAUCGAAUCUUUGAACGCACAUUGCGCCCGCCAGUAUUCUGGCGGGCGUGCCUGUUCGAGCGUCAUUACAACCCUCAGGCCCCCGGGCCUGGCGUUGGGGAUCGGCGGAAGCCCCCUGCGGGCACAACGCCGUCCCCCAAAUACAGUGGCGGUCCCGCCGCAGCUUCCAUUGCGUAGUAGCUAACACCUCGCAACUGGAGAGCGGCGCGGCCACGCCGUAAAACACCCAACUUCUGAAUGUUGACCUCGAAUCAGGUAGGAAUACCCGCUGAACUUAAGCAUAUCAAUAAGCGGAGGA
rnacentral:misc_RNA from 1 species